CACGUAGGGCGUGAGCGUUGUCCGGAAUUAUUGGGCGUAAAGAGCUCGUAGGCGGCCUGUUGCGUCCGCUGUGAAAGCCCGGGGCUUAACCCCGGGUCUGCAGUGGAUACGGGCAGGCUAGAGGUAGGUAGGGGAGAAUGGAAUUCCCGGUGUAGCGGUGAAAUGCGCAGAUAUCGGGAGGAACACCGGUGGCGAAGGCGGUUCUCUGGGCCUUACCUGACGCUGAGGAGCGAAAGCGUGGGGAGCGAACAGG
rnacentral:rRNA from 1 species